rnacentral:rRNA from 1 species
UACGUAGGAGGCGAGCGUUGUCCGGAAUUACUGGGCGUAAAGAGCGCGUAGGUGGCGCGAUACGACCGGUGUGAAAUCCUCCGGCUCAACUGGAGGGGGUCACUGGUAACGGUCGUGCUAUGAGUGCAGGAGAGGGACGUGGAACUCCGGGAGUAGCGGUGAAAUGCGUAGAGACCCGGAGGAACACCAGUGGCGAAGGCGGCGUCCUGGCCUGCGACUGACGCUGUGGCGCGAAAGCUAGGGGAGCGAACGGG